GAUGAACGCUGGCGGCGUGCUUAACACAUGCAAGUCGAACGGGAAACCUUUUAUUGAAGCUUCGGCAGAUUUAGCUGGUUUCUAGUGGCGGACGGGUGAGUAACGCGUGGGUAACCUGCCUUAUACAGGGGGAUAACAACCAGAAAUGGUUGCUAAUACCGCAUAAGCGCACAGGACCGCAUGGUCCGGUGUGAAAAACUCCGGUGGUAUAAGAUGGACCCGCGUUGGAUUAGCUAGUUGGCAGGGUACGGCCUACCAAGGCGACGAUCCAUAGCCGGCCUGAGAGGGUGAACGGCCACAUUGGGACUGAGACACGGCCCAGACUCCUACGGGAGGCAGCAGUGGGGAAUAUUGCACAAUGGGGGAAACCCUGAUGCAGCGACGCCGCGUGAAGGAAGAAGUAUCUCGGUAUGUAAACUUCUAUCAGCAGGGAAGAUAGUGACGGUACCUGACUAAGAAGCCCCGGCUAACUACGUG
rnacentral:rRNA from 1 species